UUUUUCAUGGAAUUUUAACCAUUUUGAAUAGUAUUUAGUCCAUCGAAAUUCAUGUUCCUAUGGUAAUUUCAUAAGAUAAGUCAUGGUUUGGGGUUGUAUGUACUUUGCCAAGGACCAUAAAAGUUUUCUCAAAAAUUGGGAAGUCAACUUUUUGUUUUUUUAGCAUUUUUUCCUUUUAAAAUUUUGUUACUAUUUACUCGUUAAAUUUUAUUACACUUGGUGUUUAUAUUUUUCCAGUUCUAUGAUUUGUAACAAUCAGUUUAUGUCCAACAUUUGGGGGAAGCAAUCCUGGAGUGAGGGCAUAACUCAUUCAUUCAGUCAAAGAACACCUAAAUCUUAUAUGUGGUUAUGCACUAGCGACACAUCCUUCAGCAUACGCAUCUAUGUCGUUUGUGAAGAACAAAAGCAGGGGAGAGCAUUAUAUUGAGUUUUAUAAUUCUUUUCGUUUGCCAUGUAUAAGUUUGGUCUUUAUCUUGUGAGAUAUAUUAUUUUUUGGGAGUACAUCGAAUAAGUGUGGUAACUUAAUAUAAUAAAAGUAUGUGUAGACCUCUCUUUGUUUUUUUUAUUUCUAGUGGUUAAUAUUUUCAUAACUUUUUAUUUCCAGUGGAUAAACUUUUUAUUAAUUUUUUAGUUUUUUGUUCUCUUUUGCUUUGGUGAUCAUUAUUCUUUAAGUUCUUACCAUUGUUCUCUGAUUAAUUCUUUGAUGACAAUUAUUUCUUAUUCCAAAUUUCCUUGAUCUUUUGGACGUUCUUAUUUUCUAAAGGUAUAUUUUUUUAUAAAUACAAUAUUCUAAUAUUAAUUAUCAGCUUGCAAUGGAUUGAUUGUAUCUAAGCAAACUUUUGAAAAGUUUGAUGAACCUAAUAAUUAAAUAACUUUUUUAUAAUGUGCAGGUCUAUAUUAAGAUGUAUUUCUUUGGUACAAUACUAGACAACAUUGGUAGUUGAAGUUUUUAGAAUAAAAAAUAUAUUUCCCUAACUUUGUAUACAUUUCUUGUUUAAUAUUUGGUGAUGAUAGAAUUUGACUGUGGUAUAAACUAUCAUGUAAUAUGAUUUUGUAAGCCGAGCAGACUAAAUAUUGAAAUUAUAUUUUUGAGUAAUUAAUAAAAAAAUUAUUUUGUUGUA